UGAAGUUUGGGAUGGAAGCAUCCCCUGGCAUCUAUAUCUAGCCUCAGGUUUCCCCCAGACACUUUUUAUAAGCCUCUAUCUCUGCUUCUCAUGUCACUGCUUCUGCUCUAGAUAACAUCUAUGGAGAGCAACUUGAAGACCAUAGAGGAGGAGAACAAGCUUAUAGAGCAGAGCAACGAGAGUCUACUGAAGGAGCUGGCAGGGCUUAGCCAGGCUCUCAUCUCCAGUCUUGCUGACAUCCAGCUUCCACAGAUGGGUCCUAUCAAUGAGCAGAAUUUUGAAGCAUAUGUAAAUACUCUCACAGACAUGUACAGCAAUCUGGAACGGGACUAUUCCCCAGAAUGCAAAGCUCUACUGGAAAGCAUCAAGCAGGCAGUGAAAGGUAUCCAUGUGUAGGACAACAGUAUGCAGGAAACGGAGGUCACUACAGCCAUGAACUCCCACAGAUCCGCAGGAGACCAAUACCCCUGGAGCCUGGAGGCUGUCCCCUGCGUUUAUAAUUGCAACAUUGCACUAAUUUUUCCCCAGUUGACAUAAAAAAGAAAGAAAAACUAUGAUAAACUCUUUGGAUUAAAAGCAAUGCAGUCAAUUAUUAGAUCUCAUUUAUUUUCAUAUCUUUUUCUUUUCUUUCUUCAUUGCACUCUUUAUUUUGUAAAAUAUAUGUAAAAAUAAAUGUGACAUUUUAUAUUUUAUUUAUUACUAAUCAAAGAGUUUUUUUAUCUUUUAUCUGCAUUUUGAAGUCUACCAUAUUUUUACAGGUGUGUUUAUUAAUUUAUCUUCUAAUAGGAUUUAAAUAGAAAUGCUGUUCUCAAAUCAAAUAUCUUUCUGGGUUUAAACGAGAAAAACAAAACAAAAAAUGUGUAAGGGAAAUCCCAGUGUCAGGACUACACUAUGGUCAAGCUUGGUUUCUACUGUGCACUUCCAUUUCCCCUUUACUGGUUUUGUUUUUAUAAGUGAUUUUUGGUAAUGUGAGCUGUGAAGGAUUAUGAAGAUAAAUGGCGCCCACUAGUGGGAAAUCAGCAUUCAAAAGCACAGGAUGUUAGCUAACAGUGCACUCAGAACUUGAUAGCAAUAAUUAAAUAAAGUAGUCAGCAUAGUAUUCCACAUGGCUGCACCGAUUUAAUUAAUCUGAAUUAUUUAUUUGGACUGUUUAAAGCAUACAUUUAUACAUUUUAAGUGAGUCCAAUUUGUCUUUUUGUUUUUCAAGUAACAUUGGCUAGUUGGCAACCCUUUCCCAAGAUGAGAAAUAAGCUUUGAUGUGACCAGCCAGGCCUUUCCUGCUACACAUUAGUACAAUAUACAAGUGACAAUAUUGGUGUAGAUUUGUACUUACAAAUACAGACACAUCCAAAUGGAAAUUUUGUAGAUACCAUAUCCCCUGAAAUAGCAUUUAUCUUACUGGGUUAACUGG
rnacentral:lncRNA from 1 species